rnacentral:rRNA from 1 species
UAAGGAAUAUUGGUCAAUGGACGCAAGUCUGAACCAGCCAUGCCGCGUGAAGGAAGACGGCCCUACGGGUUGUAAACUUCUUUUGUACGGGAAAAAACCUCCGGUCGUGAACCGGAGCUGAUGGUACCGUAAGAAUAAGCAUCGGCUAACUCCGUGCCAGCAGCCGCGGUAAUACGGAGGAUGCAAGCGUUAUCCGGAUUCAUUGGGUUUAAAGGGUGCGCAGGCGGAAUGAUAAGUCAGUGGUGAAAUCCUACAGCUCAACUGUAGAACUGCCAUUGAUACUGUCGUUCUUGAGUACACUUGGAGUGGGCGGAAUGUGUCAUGUAGCGGUGAAAUGCUUAGAUAUGACACAGAACACCGAUCGCGAAGGCAGCUCACUAAAUUGUAACUGACGCUCAGGCACGAAAGCGUGGGGAUCAAACAG